GGGUUUCACUAGAACUAGUGUUCAAACUAUUUUAACUAGACAACCGUGGCUCUGAUACCAAUUGAGGCUCUAGAUAAAAAAGACUAGACUAGACGCCAAUGGUUAAUGUAAGCCAUUUUCUUCUAUCCUUUAGCCACCAUAAAACCCUCCCAAGCCUCCAUUUGAGUUGAGAAUUGAAAUUGAAAGAAGAAUCAAAAGUUUUGGGAAACAAAGUCUGCGGGUAAUUCACAAGCGCAACAAAAAUUUCAACAAAGGAGGAGGGUAUCACAGAGGUCAUUGGAACCCCAUUUACACUACAAGUGCUAGCAUCUCUUUGGGUGUCAUGUGUGUAGUGCUGAGCAGCUCAUUUUCUUCAAUUUUUCCUGCCUUGAGGUUUAAGUAGGCAAAUUUCAUUUGGGCGGUGGAAAGCAAACUGGGCGAAGCUUCUCCAAUCAUCCAUGCCUGUCAAUUAAAGGCCUAAAAUUCCUAUUCCGAGACUUGCAUUGCUGUUCAGUCCAUGAGGUGAAGAAUACGAAAGGCCAUAAUUUUAGCAAUUUCUUGAUAUGAAGUUCAAAUCUUUAAUAAUUUAA
rnacentral:misc_RNA from 1 species